rnacentral:rRNA from 1 species
AUUGAACGCUGGCGGCAGGCCUAACACAUGCCAGUCGAACGGUAACAGGAAGCAGCUUGCUGCUUCGCUGACGAGUGGCGGACGGGUGAGUAAUGUCUGGGAAGCUGCCUGAUGGAGGGGGAUAACUACUGGAAACGGUAGCUAAUACCGCAUAAUGUCGCAAGACCAAAGAGGGGGACCUUCGGGCCUCUUGCCAUCGGAUGUGCCCAGAUGGGAUUAGCUUGUUGGUGGGGUAACGGCUCACCAAGGCGACGAUCCCUAGCUGGUCUGAGAGGAUGACCAGCCACACUGGGACUGAGACACGGUCCAGACUCCUACGGGAGGCAGCAGUGGGGAAUAUUGCACAAUGGGCGCAAGCCUGAUGCAGCCAUGCCGCGUGUAUGAAGAAGGCCUUCGGGUUGUAAAGUACUUUCAGCGGGGAGGAAGGGAGUAAAGUUAAUACCUUUGCUCAUUGACGGUACCCGCAGAAGAAGCACCGGCUAACUCCGUG